rnacentral:rRNA from 1 species
GAUGAACGCUGGCGGCGUGCCUAAUACAUGCAAGUAGAACGCUGAAGGAGGAGCUUGCUUCUCCGGAUGAGUUGCGAACGGGUGAGUAACGCGUAGGUAACCUGCCUGGUAGCGGGGGAUAACUAUUGGAAACGAUAGCUAAUACCGCAUAACAGUAGAUAUCGCAUGAUAUCUGCUUGAAAGGUGCAAUUGCAUCACUACCAGAUGGACCUGCGUUGUAUUAGCUAGUUGGUGAGGUAACGGCUCACCAAGGCGACGAUACAUAGCCGACCUGAGAGGGUGAUCGGCCACACUGGGACUGAGACACGGCCCAGACUCCUACGGGAGGCAGCAGUAGGGAAUCUUCGGCAAUGGACGGAAGUCUGACCGAGCAACGCCGCGUGAGUGAAGAAGGUUUUCGGAUCGUAAAGCUCUGUUGUAAGAGAAGAACGAGUGUGAGAGUGGAAAGUUCACACUGUGACGGUAUCUUACCAGAAAGGGACGGCUAACUACGU